rnacentral:rRNA from 1 species
CCCGCCGCGCGCGGCGGGCGGGGGGGCACGGGGGGACUCCUACGGGAGGCAGCAGUGGGGAAUUUUGGACAAUGGGGGCAACCCUGAUCCAGCCAUGCCGCGUGAGUGAAGAAGGCCAUCGGGUUGUAAAGCUCUUUCAGUUGGGAAGAAACGGGGUUCUCUAAUACAGGGCUCUAAUGACGGUACCGACAGAAGAAGCACCGGCUAACUACGUGCCAGCAGCCGCGGUAAU